rnacentral:rRNA from 1 species
AACGCUUCUAUACUGUGAAACUGCGAAUGGCUCAUUAAAUCAGUUAUAGUUUAUUUGAUGGUUCCUUACUACUUGGAUAACCGUAGUAAUUCUAGAGCUAAUACAUGCAGAAAGUCCCGACUUCUUGGAAGGGAUGUAUUUAUUAGAUCCAAAACCAGCGCGAGUUUCCUUCGGGGGCUCGGUUGCAUGGUGAUUCAUGAUAACUGCUCGAAUCGCAUGGCCUUGCGCCGGCGAUGAUCCAUUCAAAUUUCUGCCCUAUCAACUUUCGAUGGCAAGGUAGUGGCUUGCCAUGGUGACAACGGGUGACGGAGAAUUAGGGUUCGAUUCCGGAGAGGGAGCCUGAGAAACGGCUACCACAUCCAAGGAAGGCAGCAGGCGCGCAAAUUACCCAAUCCCGACUCGGGGAGGUAGUGACAAUAAAUAACAAUGCUGGGCUAUCGUAGUCUGGCAAUUGGAAUGAGUACAAUCUAAACCCCUUAACGAGGAACAAUUGGAGGGCAAGUCUGGUGCCAGCAGCCGCGGUAAUUCCAGCUCCAAUAGCGUAUAUUAAAGUUGUUGCAGUUAAAAAGCUCGUAGUUGGAUUUCGGGGCAGCCCGGCUGGUCCGUCGCGAGGCGAGUACUGGUCGGCCGCCCUUCCUCUCGAAAGCCCCGACUGCUCUUCACUGCAGUGGUCGGGGAGUUCGGGACGUUUACUUUGAAAAA